AACGUACGCUGGCGGCACGCCUAACACAUGCAAGUCGAACGAAGUAGCAAUACUUAGUGGCAGACGGGUGAGUAACAUGUAGGUAUCUGCCCUUUGGCCUGGAAUAACACGAGGAAACUUGUGCUAAUACCGGAUAAGUCUUUACGGAGAAAGCUUUAUGCACCAUUGGAUGAGCCUGCACUUGAUUAGUUUGUUGGUAGGGUAAUGGCCUACCAAGACUGUGAUCAAUAGCUGAUUUGAGAGGAUGAUCAGCCACAUUGGGACUGAGACACGGCCCAAACUCCUACGGGAGGCAGCAGUGGGGAAUCUUGCACAAUGGAGGAAACUCUGAUGCAGCGAUGCCGCGUGAGUGAAGAAGGCCCUUGGGUUGUAAAGCUCUUUCGUCGGGGAAGAAAAUGACUGUACCCGAAUAAGAAGGUCCGGCUAACUUCGUGCCAGCAGCCGCGGUAAUACGAAGGGACCUAGCGUAGUUCGGAAUUACUGGGCUUAAAGAGUUCGUAGGUGGUUGAAAAAGUUAGUGGUGAAAUCCCAGAGCUUAACUCUGGAACUGCCAUUAAAACUUUUCAGCUAGAGUAUGAUAGAGGAAAGCAGAAUUUCUAGUGUAGAGGUGAAAUUCGUAGAUAUUAGAAAGAAUACCAAUUGCGAAGGCAGCUUUCUGGAUCAUUACUGACACUGAGGAACGAAAGCAUGGGUAGCGAAGAGGAUUAGAUACCCUCGUAGUCCAUGCCGUAAACGAUGUGUGUUAGACGUUGGAAAUUUAUUUUCAGUGUCGCAGGGAAACCGAUAAACACACCGCCUGGGGAGUACGACCGCAAGGUUAAAACUCAAAUGAAUUGACGGGGACCCGCACAAGUAGUGGAGCAUGUGGUUUAAUUCGAAGAUACGCGCAGAACCUUACCAACACUUGACAUGUUCGUCGCGACUCUAAGAGAUUAGAGUUUUCGGUUCGGCCGGACGAAACACAGGUGCUGCAUGGCUGUCGUCAGCUCGUGUCGUGAGAUGUUGGGUUAAGUCCCGCAACGAGCGCAACCCUCACUUUUAGUUGCCAUCAUUUAGUUGGGCACUCUGAAAGAACUGCCAGUGAUAAGCUGGAGGAAGGUGGGGAUGACGUCAAGUCCUCAUGGCCCUUACGUGUUGGGCUACACACGUGCUACAAUGGUAUCUACAACAGGAAGCAAGACUGCGAAGUUAAGCAAAUCCCUAAAAGAUACCUCAGUUCGGAUUGCACUCUGCAACUCGAGUGCAUGAAGCUGGAAUUACUAGUAAUCGUGGAUCAGCGUGCCACGGUGAAUGCGUUCCCGGGUCU
rnacentral:rRNA from 1 species